rnacentral:rRNA from 1 species
GCCGCGGGAUUUUCCGGUUGAUCCUGCCAGAGGUCACUGCUAUNGGGGUUCGAUUAAGCCAUGCGAGUCGAGAGGGUUCGGCCCUCGGCGUACUGCUCAGUAACACGUGGAUAACCUGCCCUAGGGGAGGGGAUAACCCCGGGAAACUGGGGAUAAUACCCUAUAGGUUACAGAUGCUGGAAUGCCCUGUAACCAAAAGCUCCGGCGCCCUAGGAUGGAUCUGCGGCCGAUUAGGUUGUUGUUGGGGUAACGGCCCAACAAGCCCGUAAUCGGUACGGGUUGUGGGAGCAAGAGCCCGGAGUUGGAUUCUGAGACACGAAUCCAGGCCCUACGGGGCGCAGCAGGCGCGAAACCUUUACAAUGCGGGCAACCGUGAUAAGGGAACCUCGAGUGNCUGUAAACGCAGGCUGUUCAGGNGUUUAAAACGCACCUGGAGAAAGGGCCGGGCAANANCGGNGNCNGNCGCCGCGGUAAUACCGGNGGCUCNAGUGGUGGNCGNUUUUAUUGGGCUUAAA